rnacentral:lncRNA from 9 species
AUAAUUUUUUUUUUUUUCCAACUGUACAGCAAGGGGGUCAGGUUAUCCUUACAUGUAUGCAUUACAAUUACAUUUUUUCCCCCACCCUUUCUUCUGUUGCAACAUGAGUAUCUAGACAAAGUUCUCAAUGCUAUUCAGCAGGAUCUUCUUGUAAAUCUAUUCUAAGUUGUGUCUGAUAAGCCCGAGCUUCCGAUCCCUCCCACUCCCUCCCCCUCCCAUCGGGCAGCCACAGGUCUCUUUUCCAAGUCCAUGAUUUUCUUUUCUGAGGAGAUGUUCAUUUGUGCUAGAUAUUAGAUUCCAGUUAUAAGUGAUAUCAUAUGGUAUUUGUCUUUGUCUUUCUGGCUCAUUUCACUCAGUAUGAGAUUCUCUAGUUCCAUCCAUGUUGCUGCAAAUGGCAUUAUGUCAUUCUUUUUUAUGGCUGAGUAGUAUUCCAUUGUGUAUAUAUACCACAUCUUCCGAAUCCAAUCAUGCAAGUUUGAGAAAUUCACAGAGAAUAUCCCUCCUGUUCUACUCAUGUGAUGGUUUAAGGGAAUGCCUUUCUGCAGAUCUUAGCUGCUGUACAUGCUAAUUUUUUUUUCCUUUUUCUUUUUUUCCUGUUUUUUUGCUAAUCAGGAGAAUAAAAUCUACUAUUUCCCAUUGAUGUGCAUUAAAAAAAAAUUCUGGAAUUCCCUUUGUGGCUCAGCGGGCUAGGGACUCAGUGUUGUGUCUGUGAGGAUGUUGGUUCGAUCCCUGGCCUUGCUCAGUGGGUUAAGGAUCCGGGGUUGCUGGAAGCUGUGGUGUAGGUUGCACGUGGGGCUCGGAUCUGGCAUGGCUGUGGCUGUGGUGUAGCUUCAGCUGCAAAUCCAAUUUGACCCUUAGCCUGGGAGCUUCCAUAGUGCCGAAGGUAUGGCUGUAAAAAGAAGAAAAAACAUUUCUUAGGUGAAUUCUUUGCUUUUCUUUUUAAUUUUUUUAAAUUUUUCUACAGAUUUUAAAGGUUAUACUUCAUUUACAGUUAUUACCAAACAUUGGCUCUAUUCCUUGUGUUGUAUCCUUGCAGCCUCUUAACCCCCAAAACUUUGUAUCUCUUCCUCCCUCCCACCUGCUACUCCUCCUUCCCUCUCCCCGCUGGGAACCACUCGUUUGUUCUUUAGAUCCCGUGAGCCUGCUGCUUUUUUUCUUAUAUUCACCAGUUCGUUGUAGUGUUUAGAUUCCAUGUGGGAUAUCACAGAGUCUUUGUCUUUGGUUUAUUUCAUGGAGCGUAAUACCGUUCGACUCAUUGGUGUGCUUUUUUUUUUUCCUUUUUAUAGCUGCACCUGCAGCAUAUGGAAGCUGCCAGGCUAGGGGUCAAAGUGGAGCUGCAUCUGCUAGUCUACACCACAGCCGCAGCUGCACAGGUUCCGAGUCACAUCUGUGACCUAUGUCCACAGCUUGGGGCCACGGUGCAUCUUUCCCCUGCUGAUCAAGACCACGGAUAGAACCCGCGUCCUCAUGGAGACUAUGUCAGGUCCUUAACUCACGGAGCUACAAUGGGAACUCCUGAUGUGCAUUUUUAAACGAACCACGUUGACCCCCUGUUCUGUGCAUUUAAAGGGGUGAACUAAUUUAUAUUCUCGGCCCCUUCUCUUACUUUUCUUUCUUUUUUUUAAACUUUCUUUUUUUUCUAUCUUGUUUUUAAACCAUUUUUUUCAUUGAAAUCGAAUUAUCUUAGUAAUUUCGGUUUGCAAAACAUAUGCUAAAGAGAAAAUCCCAUACUGUUCGGUUUUUGUUUUUUGGUUUUUGUUUUUCUCUGUUUUCUUUCCUCCUUUCUUUCCUUUUUCCCGUAUGGCUUGUGUUACCAAAUGUUAAUGAAAACUUCUCUGUAGUGGAAUCAGCACAUAGCUUGGUUUUUUUUCCUU